GCCAGAAGCUAUAUCACCCUGCAACUCACAACUGGCAACCCACUGAAGCUAAGCAGGUGUGAGCCUGGUCAGUACCUAGAUGGGAGACCUCCUGGGGAAAAACUAAGGUUGCUGCUGAAA
rnacentral:rRNA from 1 species